AGAGUUGAUUCUGGCUCAGGAUGAACGCUAGCGACAGGCUAACACAUGCAAGUCGAGGGGCAGCACGGGAGUAGCAAUACAACUGGUGGCGACCGGCGCACGGGUGAGUAACGCGUAUGCAACCUACCUAUCAGAGGGGAAUAACCCGGCGAAAGUCGGACUAAUACCGCAUAAAACAGGGGCACCGCAUGGUGAUAUUUGUUAAAGAAAUUCGCUGAUAGAUGGGCAUGCGUUCCAUUAGGUAGUUGGUGAGGUAACGGCUCACCAAGCCGACGAUGGAUAGGGAACUGAGAGGUUGGUCCCCCACACUGGUACUGAGACACGGACCAGACUCCUACGGGAGGCAGCAGUGAGGAAUAUUGGUCAAUGGGCGAGAGCCUGAACCAGCCAAGUCGCGUGAAGGAAGAAGGAUCUAUGGUUCGUAAACUUCUUUGCAGGGGAAUAAAGUGCGGGACGUGUCCUGUUUUGUAUGUACCCUGAGAAUAAGGAUCGGCUAACUCCGUGCCAGCCGCCGC
rnacentral:rRNA from 1 species